rnacentral:rRNA from 1 species
UACGUAGGGGGCGAGCGUUGUCCGGAAUCAUUGGGCGUAAAGCGCGUGUAGGCGGCCCGGUAAGUCCGCUGUGAAAGUCCAGGGCUCAACCCUGGGAUGCCGGUGGAUACUGUCGGGCUCGAGUCCGGAAGAGGCGAGUGGAAUUCCUGGUGUAGCGGUGAAAUGCGCAGAUAUCAGGAGGAACACCAAUGGCGAGGGCAGCUCGCUGGGACGUGACUGACGCUGAGACGCGAAAGCGUGGGGAGCAAACAGG